UUGAGUCUGGACUGAAACCUGACCUUGUCAAAUGAUUAACAAGGAGGCUGUUACCCUGGGGGUGGCUCUAAUGUUGGCAGCCCAUGUAAACAAGCCAAAAUCUAAAGCUGCAAAUGCCUCAAGGUUGUGAAAUCAAAAUGCGGGAACACAAAUCACAAGCAGCCAACUAAGUUUUCAUCUGUAGCCAAUCAAUUUCUUUCCCUUGCUCCUACCCUUUCUCUACCAGUCUCUCCCCAGCUUCGGUGGGUGGAGCUCUCCUAACCGUUUCCGGUUUAGCACUGUCCAAAUUCAUCCAAUUUUUGCUCAAAGAAACUCUUAAAAUAUUGAAUCUGCCUUAGUCAUCUUUUAACAGCCUGGAGAUUUUUGAAACAUUGAUAUGGAAGGAAAGCGAAAUGCAGAGCCCUGACUUACAGGAAGCAAAGGCUUGAAUACAGCUUUGAAGACCGCCUCAGAGGCAGAGGAGGGAAGCCUCACCCUGACUGGGAAUCUUCAAUUAUGCAAAUACACUUCAGAGAUCACAACAAGAAAGGAAUCUCGGAAACGGUCUGUUCUGAGGAAGAAAUUGCUCUGUGUAAUAAUAGAAAAUGUUGUGUAUAAGAGACUGGCAGCUGAGGACCUGAAAAGUUGAAGAUUCUCUUUUUCAUGGGCAACUGAGAGUCUGUUAUAAGUGAUGUUGAGCCGGGGACUGUGUGAUGAAGGAAGCUGAACCAGGCCUUCUUUGGUGAUGAAGGCCUUCUUCAUGGGCACAAGAGUGAACAACCUGGAACCCACAGUGGCAUUCGCACCAGGGCCACUCCCUGCAGAGCAACAUCGCUGUGUCUAUUGAACAGCCGGAGGAGAAGUGGAGAGCGAACAGAAAGCCAGAGCAGGGGAGAAACACAAGGGACUUCUGCCCAGAACACGGAUCUAGGAACCUGCAGAAAUUCCAGGGAGGGCAGCGGAGGCCUUGCUGGUAGGAUCAUAAUGUAGGCAUCAAUAUGAAUGUGACUUUCUUUUUUGCCAUGAAGAAGGCGGCAGAGUUCCCAUUUCCUUGUUCAUUUACAUAAAUACUUGGACAGGUUCUUUAAAUAUGAACAUCAUGUCAGGGUGAGGCCCAGCAUUGAAGAGUUUAUUUUAAAACAUGACAUUAUGUCAACAUUCGCCAUGAUCUGUUUUAAAAUAAUUUGAUUAGUUUAGCUGAGCUAUACCCCAUGAGAACGCUCAAUGAAGGAGAAAAACCACAAAUUACAUUGGGAGUUAGGGAACUUGAAGGAAGAAGUAGGCAAAUGUAAGAGAGUGCAAAUCAGAGGAUUCCAGAGGGUACCAGUGUCAGAACUGAGGGUCAUUGUAGGUAAUGACAUGCCUGGACGGGAAGGCAGAGAACGAGGACAGCAGAGCUAUGAGUAAAUCUCAUUUAUAACACUUGGUCUCUGGCAAGUCUGGAAUUUAUAUUCACUGUUCGUUUUGAGAAAGGCUCACAAAUUUUACCUAAAAACAAAAAUCCAAUACGAAGACAAGAAGUCUCCAAUCCAUUGUAAACCUUGUAAUAUUUCAGAGUUAAAACUUAGCCCCAAGUCAAAGGCCUCCAGAGAGAUGGUCCGGCUAAAGGGCAGGGUACAAAUGAUGCUGAUGCGAGUUGAGGUGAUAUUGAUGGGCUAUUCGAAAGGGAUCUGCUUGCUGUAUCAAACCCCUGCCAGCCAUAAUUUAACGGGACAGAAGUCAUUAUUUUGCAGUGUUGUUCUCUUUGUACCCAUAAAACUUGUGUUUGCUUUUCUUUGCAAGCCUCAUCGCUCUGUGACUCGAGAUCAGCCAGUGAGUGCGAGCUAUCUUAGGAAGAGUGACAGCCACAAAUCUGGUCUUCUGGAGGCUAAUCAACUCGAGUUGUUUUCUAAGCUGCACAUUUAUUCUCAGUUGUGCCGAACUGAGAAGGGCAAAAUUCUACGGUCUUUUAUGGUCCACGAAGCUUCUAACAUUUGUUUUCUAAUGAGAGCAGUCGUACAUUUAACUCAAAAAGGAAACUGAAGUUAUAGCCUCUUGUUUAACUGAAUUAAUACUUUGAAAUCUGAUCACAAAGAAAUCAAGCGAAUCUUUCUCUGAUUUGUUUGGAUGUAAUCUAGCAGUCAGCUGCUAAAUCCCUGCCCUUUGGAGAAGGGGUAAAUUUAGCUUGAAACACCCAAUUCCACAGCCUGUCAUCCAAAGCCCUCCUCAUGAUUUAUGUGAAUUACUGUGAAUUUAUGUUCUCACGGUCCAUUUCCUUGGACUCCUGUGUCUGUGAGCGCUGCUUCUGUUAUAUCCCAUUUGACUCUAAUGAGAAGUUUGUUUUUUUUUUGUUAACUGAUAAGAUAAAAUUCACUUUCAACAAGUGUUCAGUGAAAUUAGAGCACUUAAUCAAAAGUAAAAUUUGGUGGUCGUGGAAGGAAUUGCAUUGUACAUAAUUCAGUUUUCCACCAUCCUGACUUUCUUCUCCCGCUGCUGCUCUGCUCCUUGCAUCUCUUUUCCUUUCUUAUUCCUAUAAACUCCUUUCUUCAUAAUGACACGGGUAGUAGAGCAAUCAGCUUUUUUGAAAUUGAGAUAUAAUUCACAUAUGACAUUGUGCAAGUUUAAGCUGUAAAAUGUAUUGAUUUGAUACCUUUAUAUACUGCAAUAUGAUUACCAUGGUUAUCAUUAUCACGGUUUACAGGGUUAACUAACACCUCAGUCAUGGCACAUAAUUAUCAUUUCUUCUUUGUGAGAACAAUUAAGAUCUAGGCUCAUAGCAACUUUGAAAUUUUAUAUAAUACAGUAUUGUUGACUGGAAUCACUAUGCAUUAGACCCCCAGGACUUAUUUAUCUAGUGGUUGUAUAAAUUGUAAGUUUGUACUCUUAAACAGUAUCUUCCCAAUUCCCUACCCCAGCCCCUGGUACUGCCAUUCUACCCUGUUUUUACAAGUUUGCCUUUUUCAGAUUCUACAUUUCCUCCAAUUAAAUACAGGGUCUCCUGCCAACACUUGUUAUUUCUUAUUUUCUUGAUAAUAGCUUUUGUAAUGUGUGUGAGGUGAUAUCUCAUCAUGGUUUUGACUUGUAUUUCCCUUACGAUUAAUGAUGUUGGACAUCUUUUCAUGCACCUGUUGGUCAUCUCUAUGUCUUCUUGGAAACAUAUCUAUUCAGGACCUCUGUUCAUUUUAAAAUUGAAUUGUCUCUUUUGUCAUUGAGUAGUAUGAGUUCUUUAUAUUUUUUGGAAAUUAACCCUUUAUCAGGUACAUGAUUGACAAAUAUUUUGUCCAGGUCUGUAGACUGCCUUUUCGUUUUGUUGAUGGUUUAUUUUGCUGUGCAGAAAAAAAUUUAGUUGACAUAGUCCCACCUGUUA